rnacentral:lncRNA from 1 species
AUCAGUUUAAAAACUAACUUUUUUUUUAAGUUACUGUUUUUCAAACAAUAAAAUUUGAUUGCAUUCUGUUGCACAUCUCUUUCCUUCUGCCUGUUCAGGUUUAUUUUGCUCUCUUGUGAGUUCCUUAAGGCAAAAGCUUAGACCUUUCCAAGAGACCUGUCUCCAAGCGUUUAGUGUUAUAGGCUUCCCUCUGAGUGCUGCUUUAGCUGAACCCCACAAGUUUUUGUUUUGUUUCCAUUUCUAUACAGUUCAGAAUAUUUUCUAAUGUCUAUCACGGCUUCCUCUUUGACCCAUGGGUUAAUUAGAAGCACGCAAAUUUCCAAGCACUUGGAGAGUUUCCUGUUGCUUUUCUGGCACCUAGAAUGUUGGGUGCACGCCACCUAGGUCCCCCUGGGCGAUGGCGUUUUCGGUUCUUCUGCGCGCCUGCAGGUUCCCCUCUGCCGGCCCUCAGCGAGUGAGCCAGGUGCGUGAGCCCAUGUCGCCAGCCGGUCUUUCCUUUCACUUCCUCAGGCUUCGCUCCGCGUGGGGAGCUCUGCUGUUGGCUGUGCGGACCGCGAGAGUUGUGGGAUCUUGGCACUUGAGGCGUCUCACCAGGCGAGAAGUCUGUGUCGGUCGAUGGGAAGUGCAACGACUCAACGCUGCUGAGCAACUUGUUGGAGGAGAUGAAGGGGACCCUGGCCCAGUGCUGAGCGCCAGGGCCGCCGCGGAGGGCUCAUGGGAGGCGGCACCACGUGCUGGGUGGCUGCUCUGUCCCCAGGCUGCACUGGCCUGGAGAGGCCAGUGUGGUGUGAGACCCACCUCAGCGGGAAGACGCCCGUGGACGGGGAGCGAGAGGAGGGCUCAGCUGCCAUCUGGAAGCCGGGAAACAGCUGGGCUCGUGGCAGCAUCUGCAGGCCCAGGAGGUACCUCUGGCAGUCCCUUCACCCCUAGGCCUCCCUCCCAUCUCCUGAACAGGGUUCAUCCCUGUAUCCAGCUGGCUUGGGCCUGUCUCCCUCACCACC